rnacentral:lncRNA from 1 species
UCCUUUGAGUAUCCCUGGGGAUCUCACAGUUUUUCUUUGCAUGUUUGAAGACAGGCACUGUUUUCAUAAAGAUAACAGGGGUAGACUUAUGUUUUAUCACUGUGCCCUCUUGUGGUGUGCCUUAAUCAUGCCUUUGUCCCUAAAAAGAACCCAGGUUCAAACCAUGUGAAGUCAUUCCUCAGCAAAGAUUCUUGGAUUCCACCUCAGCCUCUGCUAAAUGAUUUCUCAGUCCUGGCACCCUAGAGCUGGUCAGUCUUGGAGUUUAUGCAAAGCCUCAUUCAGUGUUGACACCCUCCACACCUACCUCCUUACCCUUUGGAGAGAAGAUGGCCAGGAACAGGAGUAUGCUGAAUUUGUGUGCUUCAGUCUGUGUGACCAGACCCUAUGUUCAAAAGCAAACAUAAGACAGCAGGGAGUGAUAACUUGCUCCAUUUCUGGAUAACAGUGACCUUGUACCCUCAGAGGGAUAAGAUGUGUACUUCAUGAAAUGUUUGGACCAACAAAAUAUUAAUACUGGUUUUCCUGGGGCAACUGAGCAUUUGCUGUGAGUGUCAAGGAAUUACUUAUGGGCUGUGACUUCAGGAGAACUAAAUCCAAG